rnacentral:rRNA from 1 species
CAGUAGCCACGGUAAUACGUAGGGUGCAAGCGUUAAUCGGAAUUACUGGGCGUAAAGCGUGCGCAGGCGGUUAUAUAAGACAGAUGUGAAAUCCCCGGGCUCAACCUGGGAACUGCAUUUGUGACUGUAUAGCUAGAGUACGGCAGAGGGGGAUGGAAUUCCGCGUGUAGCAGUGAAAUGCGUAGAUAUGCGGAGGAACACCGAUGGCGAAGGCAAUCCCCUGGGCCUGUACUGACGCUCAUGCACGAAAGCGUGGGGAGCAAACAGGAUUAGAGACCCGUGUAGUCCCUGUCUCUUAUAC